rnacentral:rRNA from 1 species
CCGUAACUAUAACGGUCCUAAGGUAGCGAAAUUCCUUGUCGGGUAAGUUCCGACCCGCACGAAUGGCGUAACGAUGGCCACACUGUCUCCUCUCGGGACUCAGCGAAGUUGAAAUGUUUGUGAAGAUGCAAUCUACCCGCGGCUAGACGGAAAGACCCCAUGAACCUUUACUGUAGCUUUACAUUGGACUUUGACAAGAUUUGUGUAGGAUAGGUGGGAGACGUUGAAGCGGAGUCGCUAGAUUUCGUGGAGUCAACCUUGAAAUACCACCCUGAUGUUGUUGAGGUUCUAACCUAGGUCCAUAAUCUGGACUGGGGACCGUGUAUGGUGGGCAGUUUGACUGGGGCGGUCUCCUCCCAAAGAGUAACGGAGGAGUGCGAAGGUAACCUAGGUACGGUCGGAAAUCGUACUGAUAGUGCAAUGGCAUAAGGUUGCUUGACUGCGAGACGGACAGGUCGAGCAGGUGCGAAAGCAGGUCAUAGUGAUCCGGUGGUUCUGUAUGGAAGGGCCAUCGCUCAACGGAUAAAAGGUACUCUGGGGAUAACAGGCUGAUUCCUCCCAAGAGUUCAUAUCGACGGGGGAGUUUGGCACCUCGAUGUCGGCUCAUCACAUCCUGGGGCUGUAGCCGGUCCCAAGGGUAUGGCUGUUCGCCAUUUAAAGUGGUACGUGAGCUGGGUUUAAAACGUCGUGAGACAGUUUGGUCCCUAUCUGCCGUGGGCGUUGGAAAUUUGAAGGGACCUGCUCCUAGUACGAGAGGACCGGAGUGGACGGAUCUCUGGUGGACCGGUUGUCAUGCCAAUGGCAUAGCCGGGUAGCUAAAUCCGGAAGAGAUAAACGCUGAAAGCAUCUAAGCGUGAAACUCGCCUUGAGAUGAGAUUUCCCUGGGGGUUUAACCCCCCUAAAGAGUCGUUCGAGACCAGGACGUUGAUAGGACGGAUGUGGAAGCGCAGUAAUGCGUUAAGCUGACCGUUACUAAUUGCUCGUGAGGCUUGAUCCU